rnacentral:sRNA from 1 species
CUCCUCGUCUUGUGCUACAAAUCUUUGAACAACUUUUUCCUUUGGUAAUUUCAACUGGAAAUUCAGUCAUCGACAAUGAUGUUGUGAGUUAGUGUUACUGCAGAUGCAUCCAUCCUAUAUAGGCGUUAAAGCACUGACAUGUAGGGCUACGUGGUGGACCAACUGAACCAACAGGGGUAGAAAUCCACGAAGAUCCUUAACCUAUGAAUUUCUGCUGAUGGUAACAUAUCUUAUCAAGGAAUGGCUUUAUCAUAAGAUCAUGUACAAUUGGAAUAUUUUGGCGGAGGAUUGAUUGAUCAGUUUGAAGUUUAGAUAAAACUGGGAGUGUGCUCUUGUGAGUGGUAUUCAAUGCAUAUCAUUACCACCAGAGAAUGGAAAGUGAUGUGACUGAACUAAAAAAAUUAUAAAAUCAUCUAAAUCAUAUAAUGAUAGUUAUAUGAGCUCUCAAAAGAAAAUCAUUGUUGCCUCAAAAUUGCCUAGCCACAUGAAAGGUUACAAGAUGGAAUACCAGCAAAAUAAAAAUGAUAAAGGAAAUUUAAAACAAAUCAUUGUUACGAGACUUAAGCUUUGAAUAGCAGCUAACCUCACAAAUGCAUCUCAUUUUUGUUGUAUUCCACGCUCAACAAAUCGUAACAUAAGGUUAUCAGCCUCGGCUAACUUACCAUCUAACACCAGCUGCUUGCUCACUUUCUUGCACAACUUUAAAUCAGGAACCAAAUUACGUCUAAACAUUUGAGAAGCCACUUUAUACGCUGAUAGAGAAAACCCUUUCUUUAGAUAGCUUUCUAUCACAACAUGGCAUGUAUUGGCAUCGAGUUUUGAUGCUGUUCUCAAUACCUUCCCCAGUAGUUUCUCAGCCUCCUCAAGGUUCCCAAAAUCACAAAGUUUUUCAAUAACCUGAUUGUAUACGGUUUUAAAUGGCUGCCUAACGAGCAUUUUUUCCAAUAAGUUCAACAUAUCAUCUACUCUACCCCAUUGACAAUAACGGUGGAUAACUGAUCUGUAUGUUACAGGAGUUGGAUCCAAACCUUUGCUGAGCAUCUUUACAAUCAACUCAGCUGCCUCAUCCAGUCUACCUUUCUUCCCCAAUGCAUCAAACAAUGUCGUAUAUGUGACAGCAUCAGGGUGUUUGUUACUUAAGUACAUGUCAUCUAGCAUAGAUAGUGCACCUUCCAUGCUACCGAUCUGACAAAAACCAUGAAUUACAGUAGUGAAAUUUACGACAUUAAUUGCACAUCCCUUAUUCAGACAUUCCUCUAAAUACUUUUUAGCUUCUACUACUUUCUGAUUUCGGCAGAGUGACUGUAUUAACAGGUUAAUUUCAACUGGAUUAGGGAAAAACCCUUUUUCAAUCAUUUCCCUGGUCAAAUCACAGGCCUCUGACAAUUUUCCCUCCCUACGAAGCCCAUUCAUCACGGCACCAUAAGUGAUGGCAUUUGGGGUCCACCAAUGCUCCUCACUUACACUUAUCAUCUCUCUUGCCUCUAAUGAUUUUCCACUAUGACAGAGGCCAUUCAACAAAGCUGUAUAUGAUACCGUAUUUGGUUUGCACCCAUGUUUGUUCAUCUGCUGCAGCAUUUUUUUUGCUUCAUCUAUCCUCCCCAAGCGACAAAAUCCAUUGAUAAUUGCAGUAUAUGUCACUACAUCCGGAUUACAUCCUCUUGAAUGCAUAUCAAUAACUAAACUUUUUGCCUCAUCCAUCCUUCCAUUUUGACAGAACGAGUGAACUAUUGCACUAUACCCAAUCUUAUCCACGUGGAAACCCUUCUCUUCUGCUUCCUUUAAGAAAGCAAGAGCCUCAUCUGCAUGCCCAUGUUUUGAAAGCACGUGGAUAAGCGUAUUAUAUGUAACCUGAUCUGGUAUCAAGUUACAAUCCUGAACCAUCUUCUCCAUUAGAUGCUUCACUUGAUCAAUUUUUCGCUCCUUACAGAGAAAAGCCAUCACAGUAUAAUAACUAACUUUAUCCGGACGACAACCCUUGGAUGGCAUUUCUGAAAUAAGCUCCAAUGCAUCUUCAAUCCGAUUUAUAUCACAGUAACCCUUGAUCAAGCUGUUGUAAGUUACAACAUUGGGUUUGAUUCCAACCACCUGCAUUCGUUCCAAGAACCUCAGCGCCUUCUCCAAUUUAUUGCCCUUCACCAGAACAUAGAUAGUAGUGUUACAUAUAGAUAAAUCAGGUUCAACACCAGAUUUCUGCAUCAAUGUCAAAACUCGCAAUGCAUUCCUCAACUUGCCUGCACGGCUAUAAGACACCAUCACAUAGCCAAAAGCUUCGGGUGAGCAUUCAAUUCCGCGGCGAGUCAUUAGCCGAAGAACCCUCCUCGCACCUUGGCACAAUUUGGUCUUGCUAAGAACAUACAGCAUUGUAUAGUACACAAUAGUGUCAUGUCUGUAGCGCCACUGCCUAUCAGCCCAAUAAAAAUAGUUCAAAGCAACACGUUCAUCAGUCUGAGAGCGCAAGACAGCACAAACAAGUGGGGGCUUGAGGCUUCUCAACAAGUGCCUCAAAUGUCCUUCCAAAUCAGGGUUCCAAGCAGACCUAAGUGUGAUUAACCUACAAACUUCCCUCACCAAAGGGUGCCUAACUUCAGCCUCACCAAUUUCAAUUCUUGCAAUACUUUCACUCUGUUGUUGGUUGCUACCACUAAAGGAAGUGAUAAACUCAAGACUAUCGUCAUCACUAGACCCCUCCCCUUCUUCACUCUGUUCUUCUUCUGCCCCAUCACAAACACUCGCAACAAAACUUAAGCUUUCCUGAAAAUCAGGACCCGUUUUCCCCAAACCACAGUCGAAAUUCCUAAUGUCACUGCGUUUACCCUCACUUUGAUAUCUGAGACCAGCGGUUGAAUAAGAAGCAGAAAGAACAGAAUGUUUUGCAGAAAAAAAGGGAAAAAAGGAAAAUGUGAAAAUCAACACAUACCUCUCUCUCGGACUGACGAUGGAAGAAGAAGUGACUGUGAGAAAUUCAUGAAAAUGGAAUCUGGCAAUAUGAAGAAGGGAAACUGAAAGAACAAUAUUUUUGAAACAGA